rnacentral:lncRNA from 11 species
CAGUCUGUGGCUCUUAUAGCUCUUCCGUUGCUCUUUCUCAUUAAGAAGGGCACAUGCUUCGUGGUAUAUCUUUAAAUCUGGAACUCCGAAUCCUCCUUGUAUUUUUGGUGAGAUCAUUGUACUAUAUUUAAUUCUGGCUUUCUGUUUUUUCCAUAUAAAUUUCAUCAAUGCUUUUGCC